rnacentral:lncRNA from 1 species
GGUCAGAGCUGUAUGAACUGUUUCACCAAAACUUUGGCCCCUAGAAAAUAAAAAUGAGUUUUGAAAUAGUUUCUAGGUCACUGGUGCAGAAGCUGGCAAAAGGCUGCAGGGUGGUUUGGAAAGUCCUGGUUAGCCCGGCUCCAUCGGCACAGACUGUGCUUUCAAGCUGCGAGUCACCAUGCCAGAGAGGAAAGAAACGAAGGAAGCCUAACCAUCUCCCCAGCCCAGAGCCCUUCCCACCCUCAGGGUGCACGUUAGCCUGGAUAAGCGCCUGGCUUCAGCAGCAGGUGGGAGUGUGGUCACAUCUGUAUUUCAUUGGAUCAAACAUCAGCUUUUAUUUGUUAUUUUCAAGAACUCUGAUUUUGGAUCAGCCAAUGGAAGCUGUGGUAGCUCUAACCCAAUGUGAACUGGUCUUUGUCAAGCUUUAAACUCCCCAAAGCUCUGAUUUUAUGUGAAGGGCAGAAAUAAUACUGACCUCUGGGGUUUCUUUUAAUAAAAGUAGUAACAACUGUU